AACGCGAAGAACCUUACCCAGGCUUGAACAGCGAGUGACCACUCACGAAAGUGAGCUUCCGCAAGGACACUCGUAGAGGUGCUGCAUGGCUGUCGUCAGCUCGUGUCGUGAGAUGUUGGGUUAAGUCCCGCAACGAGCGCAACCCUUGUCUUCUGUUGCCAUCAGGUUAUGCUGGGCACUCUGGAGAGACUGCCGGUGAUAAACCGGAGGAAGGUGGGGAUGACGUCAAGUCAGCAUGGCCUUUAUGUCUGGGGCUACACACGUGCUACAAUGGCCGGCACAAACCGUCGCGAGCCCGCGAGGGGGAGCUAAUCGGAGAAAGUCGGUCUCAGUUCGGAUAGCAGGCUGCAACCCGCCUGCUUGAAGUUGGAAUCGCUAGUAAUCGCGGAUCAGCACGCCGCGGUGAAUACGUUCCCGGGCCUUGUACACACCGCUACAGU
rnacentral:rRNA from 1 species